rnacentral:rRNA from 1 species
AACGAACGCUGGCGGCAUGCCUAACACAUGCAAGUCGAACGAGACCUUCGGGUCUAGUGGCGCACGGGUGCGUAACGCGUGGGAACCUGCCCUUAGGUUCGGAAUAACUUCCCGAAAGGGGUGCUAAUACCGGAUAAUUUCUUCGGACCAAAGAUUUAUCGCCUUUGGAUGGGCCCGCGUUGGAUUAGCUAGUUGGUAGGGUAAAAGCCUACCAAGGCGACGAUCCAUAGCUGGUCUGAGAGGAUGAUCAGCCACACUGGGACUGAGACACGGCCCAGACUCCUACGGGAGGCAGCAGUGGGGAAUAUUGGACAAUGGGCGAAAGCCUGAUCCAGCAAUGCCGCGUGAGUGAUGAAGGCCUUAGGGUUGUAAAGCUCUUUUACCCGGGAUGAUAAUGACAGUACCGGGAGAAUAAGCUCCGGCUAACUCCGUG